GAUGAACGCUGGCGGCGUGCCUAAUACAUGCAAGUCGAGCGAACAGACGAGGAGUUUGCUCCUCGGACGUUAGCGGCGGACGGGUGAGUAACACGUGGAUAACCUACCUAUAAGACUGGGAUAACUUCGGGAAACCGGAGCUAAUACCGGAUAAUAUAUUGAACCGCAUGGUUCAAUAGUGAAAGUCGGUUGUGCUGUCACUUAUAGAUGGAUCCGCGCCGCAUUAGCUAGUUGGUAAGUUAACGGCUUACCAAGGCAACGAUGCGUAGCCGACCGGAGAGAGUGAUCGGCCACACUGGAGCGUAGACAGGCUCCAUGCUCCUACGAUAGGCAGCAGUAGGGAAUCUUCCGCAAUGGGCGAAAGCCUGACGGAGCAAGGCCGCGUGUGUUAUGAAGGUGUUCGGAUCGUAAAGCUCUGCUAUGAGGGAAGAACAACUGUGUACGUAAAUAUACACGUAUUGACGGUAACGAGUCAGGAAGCAACGGCUAACUACGUG
rnacentral:rRNA from 1 species